CCUACGGGAGGCAGCAGUGGGGAAUAUUGGGCAAUGGGCACAAGCCUGACCCAGCAACGUCGCGUGAAGGAAGACUGCUCUCGGGUUGUAAACUUCCUUUAAGAGGGAAGAGCAGAUGACGGUAUCUCUUGAAUAAGCCAUGGCUAACUACGUGCCAGCAGCUGCGGUAAUACGGAGGAUGCGAGCGUUAUCCGGAGUUAUUGGGUUUAAAGGGUGCGCAGGCGGGAGUGCAAGUCAGCGGUCAAAUGGCGGGGCUCAACCCCGUACUGCCGUUGAAACUGCAGCCCUUGAGUCCACGAGAGGUAUGCGGAAUGAGUGGUGUAGCGGUGAAAUGCAUAGAUAUCACGCAGAACUCCGAUAGCGAAGGCAGCAUACCGGCGCGCAACUGACGCUCAUGCACGAGAGCGUGGGUAUCGAACAGGAUUAGAUACCCCUGUAGUC
rnacentral:rRNA from 1 species